rnacentral:rRNA from 1 species
GACGAACCGUGCGAACGUUAUUCGGAAUCACUGGGCUUAAAGCGCGUGUAGGCGGGCCGGCACGUCGGUCGCUGAAAUCCCCCGGCUCAACCGGGGAAGCGGCGCCGAUACGACCGGCCUGGAGGGGCGUAGGGGGAUCGGGAACUUCCGGUGGAGCGGUGAAAUGCGUUGAGAUCGGAAGGAACGCCCGUGGCGAAAGCGCGGUCCUGGACGCCUGCUGACGCUGAGACGCGAAAGCCAGGGGAGCGAACGGG